rnacentral:rRNA from 1 species
AUUGAACGCUGGCGGCAGGCCUAACACAUGCAAGUCGAGCGGAUGAGUGGAGCUUGCUCCAUGAUUCAGCGGCGGACGGGUGAGUAAUGCCUAGGAAUCUGCCUGGUAGUGGGGGACAACGUUUCGAAAGGAACGCUAAUACCGCAUACGUCCUACGGGAGAAAGUGGGGGAUCUUCGGACCUCACGCUAUCAGAUGAGCCUAGGUCGGAUUAGCUAGUUGGUGAGGUAAAGGCGCACCAAGGCGACGAUCCGUAACUGGUCUGAGAGGAUGAUCAGUCACACUGGAACUGAGACACGGUCCAGACUCCUACGGGAGGCAGCAGUGGGGAAUAUUGGACGAUGGGCGAAAGCCUGAUCCAGCCAUCCCGCGUGUGUGAAGAAGGUCUUCGGGUUGUAAAGCACUUUAAGUUGGGAGGAAGGGCAGUAAGUUAAUACCUUGCUGUUUUGACGUUACCAACAGAAUAAGCACCGGCUAACUUCGUGCCAGCCGCCGCCGUAAGAC